AUCCUAAACUUGCAACUCUUGAAGAAAUCCCAGUACUACUCCAUCCAAUCCGACUACCUUAUUCCAGUAGUACACUUUGCAUACAAGGAUCAUCAUGAGAAUCUCAUUAGGCGACUUAUUAGACAAAAGGCUGAAGGCGAGUCCAUAGAGCUGUGUGGAGAUGCCAGGUCUGACUCACCAGGCUACAGCUGCAAGUAUUCCACCUAUUCGUUUCAGCUUCUAUCCAGUAAUGAGAUCAUUCACUUUCAACUACUACAGGUAACGGAAGCUAGCAGUUCAGUUGCCAUGGAGUCCCAAGGCUGUAGGAGGGGCCUCAACCAUCUCAUUUUCAAUGAAGGAGUAGAUAUAGACCUCAUCACUACAGACCGGGCCACAUCAGUUCGGAAAUGAGGGAGGAAUGAGGGAGGAAUUCCAGAAUGUUCACCAUGAAUUUGAUCCUUGGCAUGUAUCAAAAGGCAUAAAGAAAAAACUGGUAGCACUCGCCAACAAAAAGGAAAAUCAGGUCCUGCAGGGCUGGAUUCGGGCGAUCCUCAAUCACUUUUGGUUCUCAUGCUCAUCUUGUGGUGAGAGUGCUGAGGUAAUAACCCCAAUGCAUAAAGAAUGUAUAAAGAUUGCACUGAAAUCCAGUCAGAAGAUUAUCAAAUAGUCUUGAAAUGUAAUAUAUUCUGUAGGAACUGAAGCGACGGUGGACCUCAGUCCUCCACCACAUCUGUGGGGAGCACACAUGGGAGCAAGAUGGAAGAAAGUGGGCAUGCCCUCACCCUGCUCUCAACCCAGAUCAGCAAAGGACAAAGCGAUGGCUCCAGCCAGAGUCUCAUGUGUUCAAGUCUUUACGGAAUAUUGUUGAAGAUAAAAGACUGCUGAAAGACCUUGAGCAGAUGACUCGCUUCAAACAUACAGGAUCUUUGGAGGUGUACCACAGCGUUAUGCUAAAAUAUCUGCCGAAACGACUGCAUUUUCGGUACGACACCAUGGUAGCCCGAACACAGCUAGCCAUCCUGGACAACAAUUACAAUGUCGGCCGACAGCAGACAGAGACUUCAGAAGGUAUUGAGAUUUCAU